AGCCUGCUUGGCUAAGUGGUACAGCGUCUCACUCGUAAUGAGAAGAUCGCUGGUUCGAUUCCAGCGUAGGUCC
rnacentral:tRNA from 1 species